AAUCCUCCCUUGUAUUUGUGCAUUUUGUGUGCCUGGAAAGUUGCACAAAACAUGUUGCUUCAGGGCUGCACCUAAUUAUAUUGGACAUCCAGAAAUAGGUGCAUCUGACUCAGAAUUUCUGCAUGCCUUGCCAACCAAUCAAACCAUAAGAAAUGCAAACUAUGCUUAAAUUAAGCAAUAAAACACUGAAAGUUGCAAGUUGUAAUGUAUUAGCAUACAGCACACUGCAAGGAAGAACUCCACAACAGGAAAUGGGUUCUAAGUAUAUUUGUACCCAGUACCACUGAGAGUAACUUCACAACUGUGGCUUUACACAACUUGAGUCACACGACGAACGCUGACAGCACAACAUUACUGAAUGUUACAGAUCAGCACUGAACAUCAAAUGAGGCAACAUCCACGGGAUCCUGUUACAAGGGUGACCACUUUAGGUUCCAGUUCCCUUGUCCUCUGAGGGAAAACCUGAGUUAAUCAGAGAGCACAGAGGAUACAAGAGCUGGCAGUCUUAUUUCCCAUGUCCUUGGGGAAGACAAAAGUUUGUUUUAAUAGACAUGUAUUAAAUGUUUCAGUGCAGAACUGAAAGAUCAAGCACAGUGGACUCAGCCUACCUAGACACCUACUUACCCUGAUAUAUAUCAAUUUUUAACACCUGUCAUCCAGAGUUUGUAAGAGGGGAAGAAUAUUUAAGACACUUAGUUGCAAAGAUCUGGAUUGCUGUUUCAUCCAAGGUCACAAGCAAAAAUAUUCUUCUCCACUCCUGUUUUUGAAGAAUUUGCACAUAAUUUGUACACAGUUUUAGAGGUUUUGUAGAAUGUCCCAGAAGACACAGUGAUGAUAUCACAGCAAUAUCACUUGAAAUUAAUUAAACUAUCUCAAGAGCAUUAAGUCAAUCCUCAUUCCAUACAUAAAGACUGCAGAAGUAGACAUAUGUAGAAGUGAGUUGGGAGAAGCAGCUGCCUAAAAACAUACCUGAAAAUGAACUAACUGCUCCAAUUCAUGUGUACCCUUCUCAAAGACUGUCAAGCCCUAAGAUUUUGACAGCAACUUGUCUAUAAGAACCCAUGGGAAUGAUUUCAAUAUGUUCUUCCAUGGGAUCCCAUUGACUGUUUUCCCCAUAUUAUUAGCAGUCUCUACCAGCAACUAAACUCAGCAGUUUUUUAGCUCCCAACCUCAGGGAAAAUUGUAGAAUAAGGUGUAUCUUUAGCACUAUUAAUUCAUCUGCAUCCUAGUUCCCCUGCCACAUGCUGAGAAGCUGUGCUGCCAUUCUGCUUGUUCUUCCACCAGUCAUCCAUUUCUCUAACUCAGUACCUUCAGACAAAGACAAAUAAUACAGGAAGGAGACUUUCAUAAACCAUGUGAUAAUUAAUUUUCAUAAAAUUGGUAAACACUGAAAUUACUAGCUCAUGCAACAACAGUUCAGCAUCUGACAAAGUAAGUGUCACUUUCAAAAAUGAACAGGAAAAAAACACAUCAUAGGUUUAGUUACAGUUUUACUGAAGCAGGGUUUAGCUGCAGUAAGUUAGAAGUGCACUCAUGCUAGACUACUGUCACUACUGUCUGGUAGUUUAUUGGUAUAUGAAAAGCACUUCUAUCACAUGCUGCUGAGGGUGUCAGACCCAGCAAAAAGGAACAGUUCCAUUUGUUGUUUCCUUCCACCUCAUGAAUCAUGCAAAGCUGACUUUCUGGUUUUGUUACUCACUUAUAAAUGUAAUUGUAGAAAUUAACUAGCCAGAUACUUUUUACAGCCAUUGAAAGUGAAGAGAUUAACUCUCUCCCCAGGCAAGGAGGGAGCAGUAAGAGGAGCAAGGGUUGUACAGCCACAAGGAUGAGCACACAGAACAUACUGCUGAGUCCAGACAGAAGGAGCUUGCAAGAACUGAAAUAUUAAGAGUUUGCACAAUAAUUUGAACUGUGGUGACAAAUAGGUCAUACUUUUGAGAUACUAGCUCGACAAAGAUCGUGUAAGGAAUUAUAAAGGUCCACCUCAACAAUGAUGUCUGGGUUAUUACCCCGCAUAAAAGACAGUGACAACAGUUGUCUGCAGUGAUUUAGAAAAAUGCAGGAUUAUUUAAAUUCUUGGAUUAUUUAAUCAUGAACUCGUAUAGUCUGCAUUUGUUACAUGAAAGAAAUUUGCAGAUUGGUAAAUGACAUCCUCCAGAACUGUACCUCUAUGUGCCAUCAUUUUCACAAGGUGUCCUAACAAUUUUCCAGUGUUCUUCAUUAAUUACUGUUUCUAAUCCUCUCAGAUUAGAAUUAGAAUUCUUCUAGUUCUAAUGUUCUAAUUAACAUACUAAUGAUUUUUUUAGAACAUGUAACCAGCAAUUCCCAGGGCUAAACUGCAAGACAACAAUUCUAUUCUCCUGCCAGAAAACAGUAUGAACUGUAUGUGUAGUGAUUUGUUGCCACCACCUGCACACCCUCUAGAGGUGGGGAAGGCAGCCCUCAGUUUGAAAUAAAUCCACAGAUCCAUACUUGGAACAGGAUAACCUGCCAAGGUCACAUAUCCAUUACAGUAUGCCUCAGGUUUAAAGACAAGGCCGAAAGACAGAACUUUAUUACUGAGCCAUCUCAAAACACUGACUACAGCAGAACCCUGCAAGACAUGACUCUGUGAUACACGCUGGACUGUGAUGGAGACAGUCACUGCUUCACUGCAGGAUGCUAAAUAUACACUGAGACAUGAAUAGGCCUCUCUAAUAUACUGAUCCCAUUUCCAAAACCAAAAUACACUUCAGAUCUCUUCACUGACUCUUCUGCAAAUUGCUUUACAACUGUUCACAUUUUCUGCCAGGAUUAUUUUCAUUUAUGUCUUACUUCUUAGAGACUUUAUACUUAAGACAGAGAAGAAUACAAUUUUGUCAUGGAUUAAUAAGCCUGAAAAAUACAGUCAAAAUUUUGUAAAAUCGUAUUUCUUAAAUAAAUGAGCACUCUGGUAGUAAAUUUUAUCUUCCAGGUGGAGAUCAUAUCUGAAAUGUCACCGUUUUAUUGUAAUAUAUCCAAGUUUUCAGUCAUUAUCCAUUAUAUUAUUUAACUCCUAAAGCUGGUGAUAAAGGCAAGCCAAAAAAAUGCCAUGACUUUUUAUUGUGGUGAGAUAUUUUACAGAUAUGGGCAUAUGAAAAAUCCUGGAGAGCAAAAUCAUAUGAAGGAUUUUUCCAAGUAAAUACUUUUGUUCUGAGACUUAUUGGUGUGGUACUGUGCUCAGUUUAGAACAGUUACUUUGGAUCCAGCUUUCCCAUUCAUGAACAGCAGCAAUAACAACAUUUGAUCUAAUAUUAAUAUACUUUUAGAUGUCUUUUAUAUUUUAUGCAUAUUAUUAACUCAGUUAUGGUUUCAAGGAAAACUCCCUGGACAAGAGUGAGACUGACUGAAUGCCUUUCUGAAGAAAAAGUCCCUGAGGACCACAUUUCUCACCGAGUUUCUGAAUUCCAGAGGGUGUUUCAGAUGCAUCUCCCCAGGUUUUCCUCCAAGUGUAGAUGCAGCCAUGCUGGAGGUCAGAGAUUAGACUGCAUCUCACUGUCCAGCUGCAGCCCUUCCCAUGAAAUGACCUGUAAGAGCAGCUAAAAAGUGACCUGAGCUCCAGCUAAGAGUGGGCCCAAAUAGGAAUAAACUAGCUGAGGCUCAGCUUCAGCAAGAUUUACAUGAAUAUUUACCAAAGGAAAAGCAAUCAGGAAUAUAAUCAGGUAGUGAACAGAACUUUCAUGCUGUGAUACCUCCACAGGUCUGCAUACAGGGUGAAGACCUCAAUGGAAGAAAAAUGCAAAGGUCAAUACCAUGUUUUAUUUACAUAUAAAUCCAGUAAACUGAGUCAUACUAUCGCUUCAGCUUUCUCACUACAGAAAACAGGUGAAAGGGGGAAAAAUAUUAAAAACUUAUUAUUAACAGAAGACAAAGACAUUUCCAACCUGAAAGUAAUAUAUAGUAUCAGUCAAGUACUGUUACAAUCAAGUAGACAGUCAUAAAUUCUCCUUUCCCUCCAUGACUUUGUUCACACCUAGAUAAAUUCUUCUGCUUCUGCAACACCGCAGAUUCUCUCACCAUAACUCUCCCCAUCUAAUAUCUCCAAACAGCGAAAUCUCGUGCAGAGUGCCCAUACAUAACAUGGGAGCACUGAAGAUUAGGCCUUCCUCUCUCCAUAGAAGAAUUUCUCAAUACAACUUAAGAAGCUUUAUAAAAUCUAAUUCAGACAGGUUUUUGCCAUCAUUUCUGAAGUAAAGAUAGAGCUUUUAUCAAUGUUCAGUUUGAUGGUUUCUAGUAAUUACUCUGUAAAUACCUACAUCUAUUAAUAGCACCACUAAAAAGUAUGUCUACAAGAAUUUUCAGGAUGAAAAUCAAAAUUCCUUCCAAAGUGUGUUUGUAAUUCAGGACCAUCAUCUCUUCAUCAUAGCCAAUAAUAACCUCUCAACUCCAACACCCCACCUGGCAAACAAACUAUUAGCAAAGGUAAAUAAUGAGUUUAGUCAGCAAUCAGUGUGACCUUUCAGGAAGGAUAGCUCCCUUCCAGACAGUACCUCCAACCACUAAAUGAAAUCUCUAUUUUCCAAGCUUAAGGGGAAAGAAAAAUGUCUGCUUGAGCAAACUGAAUCAUAUAAAAAUUUACAACACCCCCAGACAUUAGCAAAGCUCUUCAUCUUUUAUUCUAAAUUCUGCUUUAUCUUCAGUCUGCAGAUGUGGUUGGGACAUAUCAAAGAGAAAAACAUGCAGAGAUUCAUCAACUAGAAGCUGAACAAGUCACUUGAGGGCAUGCACACCUCCUGUAACUAACCAUAGCUGCACCUGAAGCAUAAUGGAACCUCCUAGAAGAAGCAACAUUUUAUUAACAUUUCUAGUGAAAAAAUGAAAUGUGGCCAAAGGCCCAAGAAAGGCAUGUUGAAGUGAGGAUGGGGUUGGUCUCCUCCUCCAAGUAGCAAGCAAUAGGACAAGAGGAGGUGGCGUCAAGGUGUUCCAGGGGAGGUUUAGAUUGGAUAUUAGGAAAAAAAAAAUUCACAGAAAGAAAGGAUUGCCAAGUACUGGAACAGGCCUCUCAGGAAAGUUAUUCACUCCCCAUCCCUAGAGGCACUUAAAAGACCUGUGGUAGAUACAGAAGGCAGGGACAUGGCUUUGUGGUGGAUUUGGCAGUGUUAGAUUUACAGUUGGACUCUAUGAUCUUAAACGCUUUCCCCACCUAAAUGAUUCUGUGAUUUGAUGCUUCUAAAUUCUCAGAACUACAUUCAGAAGAGUCUGAGGCACAGGUCUAAGAAAAACCCUCCCAUUGCCAGCAUAGGCUCUUCCUCCCUCCCUCCCUCCCUGUUGCACAGAUACCUGUAAGUAGCUCGUUCACACACGGCUUUACAUUUCCUGCCAUCUAUACAGAUCCUUCUGCACAGAGCUGCUAAGAGCAAGACUGCUCCUUCCUGUGGCAGUGAUUCUUCUGGUACCUGUGAAUAAACCUGACUCGACAGAUAAAUAUCAACUGCAGAGAGAUGUAAACAGAAAAAGAGACUUCUUUCCUCCCAAUGAAUUUGGAGACUUCUGACCCCAGUCAGCAUAAUUUUCUUGGACGUAAAAGAGUUUUUCAAGGUGAUGAAUUCACUGUGUGAUUUUUUUGGAAACAUGGCAAUUCCUUUUCUCCAGUGUUGGGCUGCCUGAUGGGAAGAGGACAUCACCUGCUUACCAGCCUGGCAGUAGUGUAUCACUACAAUACUGCACUACUGGAUAUCACACCAGCCUCAUCAAGCCAGCUUUACUGUCAGCUUCAGCACCACCUGCCAUCUCCCCUGUGACAGGGCAGUUUCACUAUUAAAAAGAUGCACUUACAGACACUUUUCUCACAAAGAGAGUGGCCUACAUUUUCAAACUCCCUGCCAAGGAUCAGUGGCCCUCCAUCCCCACUACCUAUAGAAAUGCAUCCAAAACAGUAUUUCAUCUCAAUUUUCCCACAAAAGACCCUCUCAAGUAUGUCAGGAGUCUUAUGUGCAGAAAGGCCCAGCAGCAACUUUUAAGUGCACUCCUGUCACAAAAGCUUUGAAGGGAAAGAUUUGUGCAUUUACUUCUAAUGGGUAGUUCUCAGAUACCACGGUUAUGGAUGAGCUUAGGCCACAUAAAGCAAUUAAAUUUAAUGCCCUAGAUUAGAUGCUGUUUCUGACUGAAUGACCUUAAGAGUGUAUGCAAGUGUUCUAAUCUAUGACACUAGUGAAAUAGGAGGUAUCUGAAUGUGUUCAGUAGCAUUUUUUUCUCAAAGCAUAAAGUUUUUAUUCUCUUGGCUUGGUCAUAUUUGACUCUUGGCACCAGUCUGUUCCUUCCAUAUGGUAUCACGUAUGAUUACAAUAAAAGAAUAAAAACUCUACAGAAACCUCAAAAGGCAUUAAUAUGUUUGCUUUGUCAAACUCUGGAGUCUCAAAGCAAGAAGGAAUCCAAGACAAACAGGAAUAUAAUGCUAAAAUCAAGAUGUGGGCAGGUACUGAACUUCCUUUCUUCAUUAUUUCUAAUCAGUUUAAGAGCAUGAUUCAUUUGUUAAACUUCUUUCUGUACAAGUGGGGAGAAAAAAGUGAAUUACCCAUUGAAUGCACAAUAGAAUAAUGAAAGGAAGCUGCAGGUACUUCAUGCCUUUGAAAAUUAUUCACUCUUCAAGAAAAUGCUUAGAGACAUACUUACGUCCAUCUCUGUUAAGGAAAACACACACAUUUAUGUGUGGAAAUUUUCUUGGAUGAAAUCCAAACAGAAAAUUUCAGAUAUGUCUGGCUGGAGGACUAUGUCCACCUCUGAAUCAGAGUGGACCAGACUGUAUAUAUUCAGAAAUAAUCACAUAGUCUUUCAAGCAGAAGACACUGUCUGAGACUACACUUCAGUGCCCCAAAUGAUGAACGUUUUGCUGAGCUUCCUGUAAUGCAAUUACACUGCAACUCAGAUAGCUAUCAGAAGAUAAAUCUAAUGCUCAACAGAAAAUUGAAAAUAUUUCUUGAUUAGGUGCAGCUGACCUAUAAGACAGCUUUUGAACUUUUAAUUAAUAUCUUUAAAGGGAGAGGGGGUUUGCACAUGAAAGGGCAACUCCUUAAAAUUAAUUGAUAAACUGUACAGUUCAAGAAUUUUCUACCUUAACUGAUCUGUGAUGGCAGUCCCUUGAGUAAUCUACAUCUGCUCUCUUACAGGAAAUCUGUAAAACCAACUUACAAAAAAAUUUAAAAAUCUUGCAGAGAAAACAAAGAGAAAAAAUAUUUCAAGUUUCCCCAAACUCAGUACAUUUUAUGUAAAACAUGUCUACAAGUGACUCUUAAUGCACCAGCAUUAAUUUAAAAAAGAAAGAAUGCAUGCUGUAUUGUGUUAAUGGAUUGAGAAAUAGUUUAGGUGUUAGUGUUAAUGAGAAAAAGCACCAUUUAUUGUGAAAUGAACAUCUGCCUCAUUAGGAAUAACAUAGUAAAUUAUGUCUAUUAUGCGUACACGUUAAAGAUUUUUUUGUUAGAUAGUAUUAUUCAUGCUUUCUACUCCAUCUUUUCCACCUGAGAGCAAAAGACUCAAUUGUGCUUCAAUUAAAAUCAGUUGCAAAUUUCAUUAAUUUUCACUGCUUAUGUUAAUGAAAAUAUGAACCAUAUAAGAAUGUGAAAUACUUGGCAAAUAAGUUUUACCUUUGAAUUACUAAGAAAUAACUACCCUACCACAGUGAGAUUUAUUUGCACUGUCAGCAGUUUAUGUUGUCAAGGAAUAAAAGGUUUUCCUCCUAUAUAUUUUCUCCAUAAAAAGAUUAAUAAAAUAACAAACCAUGUGCUUUUCCUUUCCACUGAAACAAUUAUGAAAAAUUUAACUGCAUUUUUAUGAGUAAUUGUUAAGUAUUUUAAUUAUGCUUAUUCUCAUGAAUAGGGAAAUCACUAUUAUUAACUGAAUAAUCAUUGGUAUUCCAUUUGAUGCUAAAAAAUAUUUGAAAUUAUUGCAAAAUAUUAGUUCACUUGUACUUUCACCCAAUUCAGGAAACUUAAUUAAGCUACAAUAAAGAGUAAAACAGGGUGAAUAUCUAUUAAAAAUAUAGUCAGUCUUGGAGCAUGGAAAGAGCAUCAAGUCUGAAUAGAUAUCAUGACCUGUUUUUGAUUGAAAAAGUUGAGCAACACAGAAACUUUAAAAAGUUCCCAGUGAAGAAAGGUGUCUAGACCAUUAAGAUACUGUUCAGGGCCUACUCUGAAAAUCUGUCACACAAAUAUUCUCUCAGAGGCAAUUAAAAUCUUUAUAAAUCCAUUCUUUAAUUCACUAAAACGACCUCUUCUUUGAGAACAAUGCCAUACUAUAAAUUCAUAUACCAACUCUCAGGACAAACCUGUAAUUUUGGGCAGGUUCCUUCAUCAUAGGAGACCACAGAAAGUUUCCCAAGAGCUCACACAUCAUACAUGACACUCAAUAAAAAAGACAAAAAAAGCUUCACCAAAGACUGGUACACCAAGAAAAAUUGAACUGAGCUAAGAAUCUCAUCCCCACGUAUAAUGUUCAUUGCACGGGUUUUGUGAAAGGAGAAAAAAUUACAGCAAAAUGAUAAUUAUGAAGAAAUUUCUUAACUCAUGUCUUGCUUUAGGAUAAAGAAGAUUCUGCUUGCAAAGGUUGUCCAUUUAUUUGAAAUUCAAAUACUAACCUUCCUAAACACAAUUCCUAAUCUCAUUUAAGAAAUAAAUCUUACAACAAAUAGAAGAAAGUCCACAUGCAUGAACCCUCCCCGACCCAGGGCUUGGUGACUCUUUCUCAAAGAAAGUCUUUUGCAGUCUUCUUUAUAGAAAGCCAUGGAUCAAUUUUUAUUUUUAUGGAAAAUUAUUUGCUUCCCCUGGUGUAGUGGUUUAGGUCACUAGUCUUGAAUCAGAAAGUAAAGCCAGUACAAAUGAGAAAAUUUAGUAGAUAAAGCCUCAAAAAAUAAAUGUGAAAUGGUAUUUUGCAAAGGUAAGCAUUCCUAAUACUUAUCUACAGAAAAUCCUGAGGUGGACAAUAACUCUCCAACAAAAAAAAAACCCAAAACCACAAAAGGUUCCACAAAAACAAACAAAAAAUAAACAAACCCCCUGCUCCCUCAAAAAGAACCAACGAAAAAAGAAACCAACAAAAAACAAGUGAAAAAUAGAGGCUAGGUGUUGUUUAGUGUCCAUGACAGGGUUCCAGGCAAGGUCUGCUGUCCAACAGCUGUUUGUGUGAACAGCACCAGGAAAGAGAAGGAAAGAAGCAUGGCUGAGCAUUUAAUCUUCUUUGCCAAUCACAAAACAAGAGCAAAAGUGGGUUUAAAGAUUGUUACAUCUCCACUUCUCUGGUCAGUACACAAUGACAGAGAUAGAACAAGAAAAUACUGGACAUGACAUUCACAAACAUCUGUGAAUGCAGCUAAAAGAAAAGCAGAUAUCUGCACCUGGUGCAGAACAAUCCCAUGUAUCCAUUCAGGCUGGGAACCCACUGUUGGGGUUCCGGGUGGCAGGCCCAGCAAGAAGGGCAUUUCUGUGGACACAGCAGGUUGAGCAAGCCAACAGCACACUUUCAUCAGAAAUAAGGAAAGCAGAAAGCAACUAUAUUGGAAUACUGGGACUGGCAGGUUGAAAAAGUUUCCUCCUCAGCACGGCCUCACACUAGGGCAGUCAGCUGUGAUCCUUCCCAGCUGAACAGGGAUGUGAACAAGACAGAGGAAGUGCUGGAGAGCAACAGAGAUACUCAGGAGCCUUGAGCUUUUGUCUUGGAGCAGCUGAUGAAGAUAAGCAUGUUUGGUCUGAGAGAAGGGUGAUCUAACAGGUGACCCAGUAGCAGCCUACAUCUACUUGAAGGUAAAUCACAAUGAUAAAGAAGCCAGAAUCUUCUCAGCAGUGACAGAACAUAUGAAAAGGGACAAUGACCAUAAACUGCCACUUGGGAGGUUCAGGGGGGUUCUUCCAUUCUUUCCUCCCCAUAUCAAACCCCCUCUUUUUUCAACAGGCAGGUGUUACAGACCUGCAGGCUAUUCAUCAGGGUGGUGGGACCCUCAUCCAGUGCAGUUUAAGAGCUAUCUAGACAAAGCCAUCUCACAUGACUGGGAAGAGUGUUUCUCCUAGCCGGACUGGAUAAUUUCCUAAGAUUCCUUCAAAACAAUGUGUAGCUGAGAAAUAUGCACAUGUAUAGAAUCAGACUGUUUCAAAUGCAGCAAAUCACUGCAGAUUUAUACUGAAGGGCAUCUUAUUCACUGUCCCUGAAAGAAAAUGCCUACUAAAGUUUGUGUGCUACAGUUAAAGAGUUUUAAAUUUUUAUGUCCUCAGUACCUAAUAAGAUUUGAUUUGCUACAUAUUUCUGUUGUCAACACUAUUAUUUAUUAAUUGUAAAUAACAUAUUAUUAUUUGUUUUUACAAACAUAUAGAAACAUAUAGUUACCCCAAGAGCACCAGGUCCUGACUCAGAAAUGGGACCUGAAAUGAUGAAAGCUGUUGAGUUACCCAUAGAGUAUCUGGAACUAGUUCAUUAGAAGCCACAAGAUGGAAAAAGAAAGAGAUAAAAUAAUUUCUCCUGCUUUCAAUAGUAUGAGAAAAAGCAAGUGCUUUGGCUGUUGCACAUGAUUGGUUUUCUAAUCAGAAUAUGGAACCUCUGUUAUUGUACCAAGGGCAUGAUGUGAUGCAGCUCUGUUAGCUCACAAGCAAAGACCUGCUGUUCAAUAGCCAUCCUGAUCAUUACUGAGCUAUAUCCUUUCUGGAAGAUCUGGAAGGCUAAAAUAGCUAGUUAAAUCUUUGAUGGUAUCAUUACAUUUUUUCCAGAAAUAAUAUUUCAGGUUUUUUUCCACUGAUACCACAAAAGCAAGAAUAAUUCCACACAGGCUCUUGCAACCCAACUAACACUGUAUCUUAUCUCCUGCAGUGGCCAAUGGGGGAUGUCUGUGAAAACCUAUCACUACAGGCCAUGCAAAGUGCUACUGCCCUUGUGCACACAUCCAGAUGUGUGAUUUGGAAUUGAGAAGCUUCCAGAGCAAAAUCUGGUAGCUUUGUAAAGUGAAGGACAUCCCCACAACAAACGUCAAAGACUUCUGCAUGGAAUAUAUUACAAAGAAGCCAGUAAGAAACAGAAACUUUAUUAUUCCUGAAAUAAAUCCAACAUGUUAAAUCAGGAAACUUAUGCAACUAAUUAUAUCCUACCAGUACAAACAGUAUCAAAGAGCAGUAUUUUUUUUUCUGAACAUCUCAUGCCAUCUCAUUUUCAGAAUGUCAAUUAAGAACAAAAAUAAUACAAAGUUCUUAUGAUAACUGAAGAUGAAACCCAGAGUUAAAUUUGCAACAAAUCUGGAAUUCCCCUUUGAUCAUUCUAAGGCAAUGGCUGAACAUCUUAUUACACUAUACAAGCCAUAAUAAAAUGCAACAGCAAUAACAGAAAGAAAUCCUGAAACAUCCUAAGACAACACUUUUGAAAAGCUACAAUAUCAAGGCCUUUUAAUGUAAGCACAUGUGUUAAGGGUGUACAUGGCUCCAUGUGUAGGUGAUGUGGUGUGGCAUAAAUAUUUUACUAACAGGAGUUUAAGUUACUGAUUCAUUACACACAAAAUGCGUGAAGGUUCUUUUCUGAUUUUGUAAAUGUUCAUAUUUUGGUACCCCAUUAAUGAUUAAGAACAGAAAGCUGUGGUAUCUGAAAAGAAGGUUUUCAAAAACUUGCAGGAAAUAUCUUAAAUUUUAUUCCAACUUUCCACAUAAUGAACUGCUGAGGUACACAAAAAAGGAGUCAAGAAACAUGUCAUUUAUGGCUCUCCUCCCCAGCACAACUUUACUGAAAGCAAGGGCCUUGGCUCAAGAGUAACUUCCUCCCCUGGUUGAAGAAGUUUGUAGAAUAGCUGUCUUCUAGAAUCUGGCAGGUUUGUAUUUACAAAUUAACCAAUUGACUUCUGAAUGUAGGUCACAACAUUCAUUCCUUAGGUGGCUGGCCUAUUUUUAUCUCAUUUGAAAGGGCAAGAAUAAAAAAGAUGAGCUAACUUGCAAUACUUCUCAGCUCUGAAGUCUUUUCCCCUAUGGGAGUGAAAAUAUCGCUGCAGGAAUGGUUUCUUAUUUGUAACAAAUAUUCAAUUGCCUAGUUCUUAUUUAAGAAACAAACACACAGAUCUAAACUGCUAGAUCAAAACCUUUAAAGCAAAAAUCUGUAACCACCCUUGUGUUACUUCAACCUGCAUAUCAGAGUGAGGUUUCAGGACACCAAUGAUCUACUCAAAAGGUCUCACCCCAGAUAGCCCAUUCCUGGACCAGAAAUAGUACAGAGCUAUAACGGGCUCCACUGCAGUCAAGAAUAGCUUAGCAGUGGUAGAAGCAGACAUCUUCUCCACGUACUUUGUAAUGUCUUUGCAACUCUAAGCUACUUGUCUCAAGAUUUAUUUUUUCAAAUAGUUGUGGCUUUUUUAUUAUGUUUUGGUUUUAAUUCUGUAAGAAAGCCUGUUUUCCAAGAUGCAACUAUAUUUGAUCAGGUGGCUGGAAAAAAAAUCUGCUUGGAACAUCAUAAAUAUUAUCCUAUUAUCUGACUGUGAUUAAAUCAGAAUUAUACAAAUACAUUAAAAUAAUUUGUAGACUGGCAGUAAAGAUGGCUAUUAAACUGAAAUCCAAUGGAAGUUUAAAGGCACCCUAAACACUGUAUCAGGGACAGAUACUUUAAGGUAGUAUUAUUACUGGGUGUCUUAUACUACAGUAAUGUUUCAAGCUCUUUCACACAGAACUGUUCAGAUAAAAGAUGUGAUGCUGGCAUUACAUUUGCCAAAAUUGCCAUUUGCAAUUAAAAAUUAAAACUGGCACCCUUUCUAUGCAGGCAAUUAUCUAAACGCAGCUGGCAAUCUUCCUUGUUUACAGCGCUGCUGUGUCAUGACUCCACUCCAUUUGGAAAUUUACCACCUUUUUUUUUUUUUUUUUUUAAGGUUUGAACUUUUCAGCUGUAUUUCCAAGUUGAACUUUUCUGAUUUUAGAGAUUUGUAUCAUGAACUCUGACAAAAAGGUCCAAAAUUAUAAUUUCCAGAUUUCGUAUGGCAACUUCAGGCAUAGCAAUAAAAUGAUUCCUAGCACAUAUUGUGGUGUUUCUUGCAACACUACUUUACAUCCAGCUAGGCCACAGGAAAACACCUGUAAGAACCCAGACAGCAAAAUGUACCAAAUAAAUACCCUCCAAGAAGAAAAUUUUAGGUUUAAGAGUUGAUUUUCAGAGUAAAACAGAAAUAAUGUGAAAGUCCUCUAAGUGGACAAAAAUCCUUUUCCUGAAUAAUAUAUGACAUUAACCACAUUUCUACUACUUGCUAUCUAUAGUAAUUGUCAUCCACUAAAUGAAUCUAUCCACAAAGUAUCUUAUUCAUCAGAUUACCAUGUUUCUGGAACCUUUUUACUUACAACAGCUGCUAUUAAAGUAACAUUUGAGGGUUCCCUUCACUGCUGGGAGAGGAGCAUUCUUUAUGCUGUCAAACAGCUUCCAGGGAGCAGUUGUUUUUUUAGCCAAGAUGCUGCAGCCGCUAGCUUGAUUUCCAUGACUAUCAUGGAACAAAUACUGUUACUUACAGCAUAUCAGUUAAAUAAAUAUUCUUACUCGUUUAUGAUGUAUUUCCUGUAGUCAGACAUAACAAUACUUUGUAUUAUAUCCCCAAUACAGUAAUGCUUAACUUC